CCUGAGGAUUCUUGUUUCCCAGGAAUAAGUAAUUCCUAAUAUUUUAGAAUCAUAGAAUCAUAGAAUGGCCUGGGUUGAAAAGGACCACAGUGACCAUCUAGUUUCAACCCCCCUGCUAUGUGCAGGGUCGCCAACCACCAGACCAGGCUGCCCAGAGCCACAUCCAGCCUGGCCUUGAAUGUCUCCAGCGAUGGGGCAUCCACAACCUCCUUGGGCAACCUGUUCCAGUGCAUCACCACCCUGUAGUUCAUCAAGCCAUUCCAGAGCCAAUUGCUGAUAAAAUCCUCAUCUGGAUUCAAGAUAUUAACGAAGUCUAACUCCUCAAGUCUCUGGCACCAAGGCAACGUGUUGUCAUAAAUCCAUAGGAAACCAGCUUUCAUUAGUGCCCUUGGCCAUGGAACUAAUUGUUUGCUCUGCACUGGGCACCUGCUCAUGGCUGUGGGCAGCAAGAAAGUCAUCAGCAUUUUAACGUUCUUCCUUUGCUGUGCUUUACUUGGGUUUUGUCUUGGGAUUAUGAGAUGCCAGGGAGGUAAAACAGCGACUCAGAAGAAAACAGCUGCCAGAAGCAGGGGCUCCUGUUUCUUACUUUGAGCUGCGUGUACCGCGUAGAGUUAAAAAAUAGUGCUUAGAAUAAUGUAAAGCAGAAAUCUGUUGCGUUCCUUCAGAAUUACCCGAGCUUGCUUUAAUAGAUGCUGGAUUAAUUGCGUGCUGUCUGAGAGCUUUUGUUCCUCUGUGGAGUGGCUGUGGUCUGUGCCACAGAGGUGAAUGCUACUCUACUGUAUGGCAAAUUUGACAUUGAAGGGCUCUUUGUAGGAAUAGGACUGCCAUUCUCCUCCAUUGUUCCUUUGAUUAAACAGUGCCAGCAAAAGAGACAGUUUUGAUGGUUGUUUUCGUAUUACGGGCAUCUGGCUACUAAGAACUGGGCUGAGAUCACCACAUCACAAGCCGCUGUAGAGAUCUGUUUGUGCACUCUGAUCCCACAGCGAUGUGAUCCAGAUGACUAUUUGGACACACACAUUUCAUAAGGGAGAAAGACAAACAGUUUCUGGGAUGCGGUGAGUUGUGCACAGCCAUUCUCUGAUGCCACUCUUCCAGUGCCCUGACCCACAGCUCCCCGGUACUCCUGAAGCAACUCAGGAAAGAGAACGCUUUUCCUCCUUUUACAUCAACAUACUUCACAGUGGACUCAUUCAUUAACU
ensembl:lncRNA